GACGAACGCUGGCGGCGUGCUUAACACAUGCAAGUCGAACGGAAAGGCCCUGCUUUUGUGGGGUGCUCGAGUGGCGAACGGGUGAGUAACACGUGAGUAACCUGCCCUUGACUUUGGGAUAACUUCAGGAAACUGGGGCUAAUACCGGAUAGGAUCUCCUGCUGCAUGGUGGGGGUUGGAAAGUUUCGGCGGUUGGGGAUGGACUCGCGGCUUAUCAGCUUGUUGGUGGGGUAGUGGCUUACCAAGGCUUUGACGGGUAGCCGGCCUGAGAGGGUGACCGGCCACAUUGGGACUGAGAUACGGCCCAGAAUCCUACGGGAGGCAGCAGUGGGGAGUAUUGCACAAUGGGCGGAAGCCAGAUGCAGAAACGCCGCGUGCGGGAUGACGGCCUUCGGGUUGUAAACCGCUUUCGCCUGUGACGAAGCGUGAGUGACGGUAAUGGGUAAAGAAGCACCGGCUAACUACGUG
rnacentral:rRNA from 1 species